GACGAACGCUGGCGGCGUGCCUAAUACAUGCAAGUUGAGCGCUGAAGGUUGGUACUUGUACCAACUGGAUGAGCAGCGAACGGGUGAGUAACGCGUGGGGAAUCUGCCUUUGAGCGGGGGACAACAUUUGGAAACGAAUGCCAAUACCGCAUAAAAACUUUAAACACAAGUUUUAAGUUUGAAAGAUGCAAUUGCAUCACUCAAAGAUGAUCCCGCGUUGUAUUAGCUAGUUGGUGAGGUAAAGGCUCACCAAGGCGAUGAUACAUAGCCGACCUGAGAGGGUGAUCGGCCACAUUGGGACUGAGACACGGCCCAAACUCCUACGGGAGGCAGCAGUAGGGAAUCUUCGGCAAUGGACGAAAGUCUGACCGAGCAACGCCGCGGGAGUGAAGAAGGUUUUCGGAUCGUAAAACUCUGUUGGUAGAGAAGAACGUUGGUGAGAGUGGAAAGCUCAUCAAGUGACGGUAACUACCCAGAAAGGGACGGCUAACUACGUG
rnacentral:rRNA from 1 species